rnacentral:rRNA from 1 species
AACGAACGCUGGCGGCAUGCCUAACACAUGCAAGUCGAACGAGACCUUCGGGUCUAGUGGCGCACGGGUGCGUAACGCGUGGGAACCUGCCUUUAGGUUCGGAAUAACUCAGAGAAAUUUGAGCUAAUACCGGAUGAUGUCUUCGGACCAAAGGUUUAUCGCCUUUAGAUGGGCCCGCGUUGGAUUAGCUAGUUGGUGGGGUAAAGGCCUACCAAGGCGACGAUCCAUAGCUGGUCUGAGAGGAUGAUCAGCCACACUGGGACUGAGACACGGCCCAGACUCCUACGGGAGGCAGCAGUGGGGAAUAUUGGACAAUGGGCGAAAGCCUGAUCCAGCAAUGCCGCGUGAGUGAUGAAGGCCUUAGGGUUGUAAAGCUCUUUUACCCGAGAUGAUAAUGACAGUAUCGGGAGAAUAAGCUCCGGCUAACUCCGUGCCAGCCGCCGCGGUAACAC